rnacentral:lncRNA from 10 species
CGGGCCUGCGGGACAAGAGCGACAUGGGCAGCUCGGGCGGGACGGCGCCCCGCGGGCCACACCCGGCCUGCCCGCCGCCCCCCGGGGCCCAGUGCUGGGGACCAUUAAGUGUCUUAAACACCUGAGGGAAGAGAAGGAAAAAAAAAAAAAGGAGGGCAAGAAGGAAGAGGAGGGAGGGAGAGGAGGGCAAGACAGGGAACGGGGUAAAAGGAAAAAGAAAACGGAGAAGGAAAAAGACACAGAAAGAAAAAAGAAUCUGGCAUCUAUCCCCAUCGGGAAAUGGCAUUCACUAACGAACACGGGUGCAAAUGAUCCCAAAAUGACGGUGACUUAAUACAAUUGAUUAAGGAAACUACUGCCAGCUUUUAAUGUAGCUCUGCAAUGGGUUUCUUUCUUUUUCUUUUUUUAAUUACAGGUGCAUUGAGAGUUCAGAAAAGAAAGGGAGUCACCCAACAGUCAGAUGCAAUUUGGGUAUGGUCCUAAAAUCACAUCUUGCAAAUUGCACCUCAAGCCCUUUUAGGACAGACCUCUAUCCCAAUCUGAAGCCCUUUUAGGACAGACCUCUAUCGCAAUCUGGAAGAGCCCUGCUGUCAGAACCCAUGCUUUACAAACAGAGCAACGAGUUUAUCAGUCUUCUGAUGUGAACUACAAGGAGCACACACUUUUUCUUUUAAGGCCUAUAAAGCAUAUUUCAGGUUUAAUCAGUGAAGUCUGGGAACUUAAAUUUUUUCUUACUACAUAUUAGAAAACACUUCUUAAAACAUUCAUUGUUAGCCAAAAAAAAUCUGCUCAUUCCACCUAAUAAAAAUUGGCAAAUAUUAGGAUUCAAGGGAGCAUUAUCCCAUGUUACCAGAAUAAAACAAUAUGUAAUCUGAAAGCUUGUCAAAGUGCAUUGAUUAAGUUAAUUUAAAAUAAUUUUCCGCAUUGAACUUCAGGAGUUUAAGUUAAUUACUAGGUACAGACUUAAAUUUUUAAGUGUUCCAUUUCUUCUCCUAGAUGAAUUUUCAGUUGCCUUAAAAUUAUAAUUUUAGUGAUGCUACCAGAUGAGUUAAAUUUUUUUAAAAGAAUCUCAGUAAGCAGAUGUUAAAGUCCAGAGCAUUUUUCCAAUUUUUUCUAAAUCCUUUCUAAGAAAAAAUAGCUAUUAAAUGGUAACAAAAAUAAUAGUCUACAUACUUCAGAGCGAUUUAAUAAUUAACCAUACAACGACAUACAUUAUGAAAAACUGAACACAUUUAUUCAAUUUCCAACAAUCACCAAUUAGAAAUGGGCUUAAAUGACAAUACAAAGAAAGCUAUAAGCAAACAUUUUGACAGGGGGAUGUGAAGAAUUAGAACAAACUGCUUAGGAAACUACAGUGUGUGCCUGUGUUUGUGUCGUGUGUGUGUGUGUGUGUGUGUGUGUGUGUGUCUGUGAUGUUAUCGUUCUUUUCCCCUCCUUCUAAAAUUAGGUAAAACAUUUCCUAAAGAUACAGAGCAAGGUAAGAUUUCUUCUUCAGGUAAUUUCCAGCAGUGGUUCUCGGGGUUGAUGAGAAAAUCUUAGGAGGAAAAUGCACUUCAUUUUAUUUUUAAUUUUAGGUAUUGUAGAUGUACCUCCAUAAUUAAGAAGUUUUUUCAUCUAAAUACUUUUUUUCCUGUAUAAAAGGUCCUUUAUGUAAUGCAUACCUUUUAUAAUACGAUACAUUUAGAGUUCCUUUCAUCCAUAUAUAAGAAACCAAUUUGUAAAUAUUAAGUCUCAGGGUUACUAUGCAUUGGAGUAAGUUAUCAGGGGAAGUUUUAGAAUAUUUUUCCCUGGAGAGCUUUAAAACAAGGUACAUUUUUCAUUUGGGUUGCUCUAGGUGUGAUCCAGUCAAGUCAGAGGAGAUACAGAUUUCUAACAUUCAUUUUAAUUCCCUAUGAUUCUAUGACUCUCCUUAAGAAGCUCAAGAAGCUGGUAGAAUUAAACAUAUUUGAAGCCUUGCUAUAAGCAUGCUAAAUCAGGAAUUUAAUACAUUUAGGUCCUCUAAAAGCAACCAUCUUUAGGUCUUACUGAUAAUAUCGGAAGAAUUACUUUAAAUUUAGUUCUCAAAGUGUUUUUCCUCCCAGUUCAAAUAAUUCAUCAACAAAAGCCGUAACACUGCAAUCAUGUUAUCAUUUCACUUGUACUGGCACUGUCUUCUUUAGCAUUAUUGCCUAUAAAUACCCAUGCAGAAGAUUAUGAAGACUCCUUGAGGUAUAGUCAAGUCACUAUUUUAAAAACUACAUUUAAUCAAAAAGAGGUACCCAAAGCAUAUCUUUCAUCUCUGGUCCAGAAUCUAGUCUGUGACUCCAAACUAGAUCUGAUAUAUGCAUGGACCGCCUUCUUCAGUCACUAAAUAGAAAGAUAUUCUAAUUUUGUUGAUUCACCUGUAACACUGAAAGACAGAGAGAGAUUCAAACAUCUACUUACAUAUUCCAGUCUCCAAUUUAAAAGUACUGCAACUUGCUGUGCACUAAACAGGUACCUUUAAACACCCUGUAUCUUCCCAGAAAAAAUGUUCUUUCACCUCAGCUGUUAUCACCUGCUAGUUGUGUGAGCCUGAGCAAGUUACUCAACCAAUCUGUGGCUCAGUGUCCUCAUCUAUAGAAUGGGGAGAGUAACAAUAGCCACCUCAUAGGGCAGCGGUGAAGAUUCAGUGAGAUAACAGUGUCUACCUGUUCAACCCUCGGCUUUUGUCGUUUUAUUGCCAAGGACAGGGAGAUAAAGAAGCCUAAUUGACUCAGCUUUAUAGAAAAACCACAUGGCAAAAGAAAGGUCUUUCAGGAAAUUCGGUACCAUAUUAGCUGGCAACUUUGGGAGUACUCUUUUUCUAUAGCAAUUUCUAAGUGUUUCAACAGUUUAACACAACUCCUCAGCACAGAUACUCAGAUGAGUCCGCCUGCCAUGUGCUCCCUGGAGUCUGCUACCAGAGCUACUUAGAGCAAACUCCACUUCCUAGCUAAACACCACAAGUUCAUUUACCGUGUGGGUCUAUUUCCUCUUCCCUCCGACAGAUUGUAUAAAAAUGACUACUUAACAGAGGCCGGGGAACUGAACACAGCUUGCUGCAAUUAGCCUUGCCCAAAGUCUACCUACCCAUUCAUUAGGUUUUAUGCCUGUCUGUCCCUCAGGCGGCUUACGGGUUCGUUUGCCUGGCUGGCUUUGCUCUCUAUCGACAGAAAUCGUCUCCUCUACACUAGACACCGGUGGCCUGCUACUUGACAAGACUUUUCCCUGGUAUCUUCAAAUGGAAGACAAAUCACAUUCUUUAGCUUAUCUCCCACUCCCUCUCCAACGUAAACAAUUUAGGCUUCAUUGUCAGAGGUACAAAAUGCCAUCUGCUUUCCCUUCAGUCCUCAUUUUAGGAGUCAAAGUAGAAACAAAGUAGAAACUCUGGCCCUCCAGAAGGGAGUCCCAGCGCAGCUAAGCGGGGAGGGGGCAGUCUUUAUUGAAUGCAUCCCUAGGCGUGAUUUGAUGCAAUAGGGUAACAAUGUAUUAAAAUACCCAAGUCUCACAGGCACAGAACUUCAAAGCAUUCAGUGCUCCCACUUAGUCUUCCGGCAUACAGGACAUUCAUGCAAAUAAAAGAUCUAUGCAUUCAGUAAGAAUUUAAGGGGUUUCCACAGGUUGGAAAAAACAAACGCAAUAAAACAUUUAAAUUGAGCAUAUAAAAUUUCAGAUAUCAAAAAAAACACUUUAUUUUCUACCAUAAGGUCUCUCCCUCACCCCUCAAAAACCCCAAAUUUUUUCAGUUCCCAUUUUUCUUUUUGUUUGAAUCUCUGAAAGGAAAAGUGAAUCAAAAUGAAAAGAAAAAUGAUGGGUUAGAUUUGAGCGGUGCCCACAGCAGGCAAGGGCACAUUCCAUCGUAAGAGUGGCUGACAUUUUGUAGGGGAAACCACUGCAGAGUUAUGUGUUCCAUGGGCAAUGCCUCGACUCCAAUCAUAAUUCUUUGGUGGUGGCUGGGAUGAUGUCACUUUUGGUGAAUUAUAAGUUUGGAGCAGCUUUGAGGCAGGCCAACCCAGCCAAAAAGAUUCUCUUCACACAUGAAUAACACCAGGAAAUGGAACAGAAGCAAAAUGGGAACACAACUACCUCUACGUAAGUGAAUAAUAUCCUGAAAUAUUAGCAGGGGUGUUUAAAGUGGGGACAAGUUCAGCAAUGCUGUCAAAUGGCAGUGCCCUCUCAGUGACAGAAAUGGGCUCAUUCUAUUUGAAGGAGAUAUCUUCUUUCCUCCUUCAUUCACGUCUCCUUUCCACUCUUCCAUAAAACCCUACCUGCCCAAAUAUUGUCAUUUCUAAUGAAGCUCCGACUAUUGAAAAUUUAAAAAGACAUGAGCAGUGAGUAAUAAAGUGAAUUCCCUUUAAUGACAGGCACCUGAUGACGAAAGAUGUAGGUACCGGAGCCAGGUUAAAAAAAAAAAAAAAAUAGAGCCCUCUCCUGAAAAUGAUCCAGAAAAGGCACUCAGGAUUGGGUUGAUUAGGACAUGAAGCAUUUAUUGUGUACAGGUAUCCAGAUAAAUGGAACUUCAUCCUUUAAAUUUUACUACUGUGUUCAGUUACAUUAUUUUAACCUUGGAUGAAAAAGGUUUCUCAAACAAAUCAUUCUGCUUCCUACAUUCUUAACUGAUAUCUUCGAAUCUUUUAUUACUGAGUCUAGCUCGUUCUUAAAAAUACCAAUGCUUGGUGAUGUCUGUGACAAGAUGAUAUCCCAGGACCAACUGUGAGGUAUAGCAGAUCAUACCCAGAACACAUCAUCCCAGACUACUACCUUUUGGGAGUUCAAGUUCUGAUCCCUCCUCUCCAUCAGCCUUUCAUGUAGCUGGUAGUUACCAGCUGGCCUCUACUUGAAAUUCUCCUAGUUAAUACUCUUCACAUACUGAGACAUGGGAUAUAAAGAUUACCAAUUUUGUUGAUAUUGUGUCUCAGAGUAAGAGGGAAAAGGAUCUAAGUAAGGUGUGCAGAUACUGUCUCUUUACACACAGAAGUACAAUGCUUGCAUCUUGGUACACAGACUUUGUGAUAGGUUUUUUUCCUUGUCAUGAGCCUUUUUGCCAUGAAGGAGCCAGUAUGGGAAAGUGGUUAAGAACAUGAGAUCUUAAGUCAAAUUCCUGGGGUCUGAAUCCCGACUCUCCAUCAUUAGUUGUGUGACACAUGCAAAGGACUUAUCACUGAGAAUGGCACAUGAGUAGGCCAGCAGGCACUCAGGGAGGAUAAGCCACACACACAUAUACAUACGUGCUUUUUUCUUCUAUCUGGCUGCAUUCUCAAGAGCUGGAGUUUUGCAGUUUUAAAACCUCUAAAUACUUUUAGGAUUCAAACUGCCAUUUUCUGCAUAGUUUCUUGUAUAACCUUUCCUGUUCCCAAAUCUCAGUUCUCUAUGAUCCUCCACCUACCAAAUGCCUCCAUGGUAGCCACACAGAAAUUCUGGAGAUGAAAUGAUACUUUCUUGCCCUUUUAAAACCCACUGCCAUGGUCUGAAAGUUUAUGGUCCCCUCAAAAUUCAUAUGUUAAAAUCCUAAUUCCCAGGGAGAUGGUAUUAGAAGGUGGGGUCUUUGGGAGGUGACUAUUUCAUGAGAGUAGAGUCCUCAUAAUUGGGAUUCAUGCCCUUGUAAAAGAGGCUCCAGAGAGCUGCCUUGUCUCUUCUGCCAUGUGAGGACACAGUGAGAAGGAAGCCAUCUAUGAAUCAGGAAGCAGGCCCUCACCAGACACUGAAUCUGCUGGUGUUUUGAGGUUGGAAUUCCCAGCAUUCAGAGCUGUAAGAAAUAAAUUUGCUGUUUUUAAGCCACCCAGUCAAUGACCUUUCAUUACAGCAGCUCAGACUUACUAAGACAUCCAUUCUUAAGGCUAUAACAAUUAAUAAGAUGAGGAUAUCUCUUAGGUAGGCCUACUCUUGGAGCUGCCUCUACCAGAAAAUAAACGUAUACAAACUCAAUAGGCAGAAUAUUAAUGAAAAAAUACUAAUCUGAACUCUCUCCCAUGGUAUAAGGCCCAAAACCCAGGAACAGUACCAAUAUCCCAAACUAGCUGUUUGCAACAACCUGCAUGUCAGAACUUGCCUAAAUGAAUGGAAACCACUCAGAGGAAAUGGUAUCAACGUCAAGGAAGUACCUCAUUCCCUAGAAUCCAAAGUUUUCAUUAGAGUAGACCCAUACAAUCUCUGCUUUUCCAGUUCUUUAACAAAACGCUUCCUAGAGAAAACAACCUUCAUGGAAGAUCACUUCACAGUCCCCUGCACCUCUGAAGUCUAUCAAUGGGAUCAAGACAGAAGACCAAGAGGCCAUGCAAAGGAUUGUAUCAUUUCUACCCAUUGUAUAAUGUCAUAGCUUCAGACUUCAUCCCAAGGUGUAUAAGAAAUAGGCCAUGUUGAAUCUGUUAGUCUAUUAUGAACAAAUGCUAUUGAUGUUUCUGUCAUGCAGUGCCUCUUACAAUAAUGAUGAUGAUAAUAAUUUAAAAAAUAAUCUCACCUGGGAAAUCAACUCUAUACUCUCAUGCUAGAAAUGGCUUUUUCUGAGAAACUGGUAAGGAACUUCCUUCCAAAGGGCGAGACUUAGAUACAGGACUUUGUCUCCUUUUGGCUCUGAUUGUCAAGAAACUCAAGUCAUCUUUGAAGCAAAUACAGCAACUAUGAGAACUUUUGCAGCCCUACUUUCUUGCCUCAAUUUCUUACUUUUUUUUCUAUUUUCCCUUGUUGCUGAUUUUGCUACUCAUAAUUAUUUUACAACAGGCAUGCUUCUUGUAAGCCUCUCCAGAUGUUCUUCAUAACAAAAAGGGAUAGAAAUAAACAAAUCAACAAAUUAUAAAAUGGCUCUAGUGGGGCUGAUCUGAGCAGUGAGUUCUGGGGAUGAAAUGCACUAAGUCCAGAGGUUCUUAACCUUGUGUGUGUGGAUGGGCUUCCAAGAAACCUUGAACCGCUUCAAAGAGAACGCAAAAUCACAGGUGCUUUUUCCCUGGGUCUCCAGCUUGCACAACCACCUUUUAAGGUUAAGAAACACUGCCCUAGGUCUCAACAGCAGGGGAAGACCAAGAAUCUUGGCCAUCUAAGUGGAGCAAGGAUAGAGAGCCAGUGAGGUAUAACAAAAGGCUACGUCAGCCCCGGGCUUUUAACAACCCGGUGUUUUGGUGAGCAGUCUUUGUUAUCCGAGUUGGACCAUGGCAUUAUUCAUUUGGUUGCGUAUUAACCUACCAGAUGGUCUGUUGUAGUUAACAAGGGCCGGCUGCUGUUGUUGCUGCGUCUGUGGUUGCGGCGGCUGCUGCUGCGGCUG